CUCUGAGCCAUCCCUCAGGCCCCUAAUAUGUCUCAUUUUGUAAGACCCCCUUUCGGGGAUCCCCACUCUAGUCUCAGGAGUGUGAGAGCACCCAAAGAAACACGAGGACCC
rnacentral:pre_miRNA from 7 species